rnacentral:rRNA from 1 species
UACGGGAGGCAGCAGGGGGGAAUAUUGCACAAUGGGCGCAAGCCUGAUGCAGCCAUGCCGCGUGUAUGAAAAAGGCCUUCGGGUUGUAAAGUACUUUUCAGUCGUGAGGAAGGUGUUAAGGUUAAUAACCUUAGCAAUUGACGUUAGCGACAGAAGAAGCACCGGCUAACUCCGUGCCAGCAGCCGCGGUAAUACGGAGGGUGCGAGCGUUAAUCGGAAUUACUGGGCGUAAAGGGCACGCAGGCGGUUAAUUAAGUUGGAUGUGAAAUCCCCGGGCUUAACCUGGGAAUGGCAUUCAAGACUGGUUAGCUAGAGUCUUGUAGAGGGGGUUAGAAGUUCCAUGUGUAGCGGUGAAAUGCGUAGAGAUGUGGAGGAAUACCGGUGGCGAAGGGCGGCCCCUGGGACAAGACUGACGCUCAUGUGCGAAAGCGUGGGGAGCAA